UGCAUAUUGAUCAGAUGCUUCAGUGCUCUGAGAGUGUUUAUAGUGCUGUGAGUUUAACACUUCAUCACUGACACACACAACAAUCUUCAUCAACAUGACCUUCAUCAUCAUCUUCAUCUGGACUCUUUCAUACUGCUUUAUACUACAAGGGUGUAAAGCUCAGAUCACAGUCACUCAGACUCCAGUGAAACCUGUCACACCAGGAGAAAAUGUUGUGAUGAGCUGUAAACUCAGUACUCCUGCACCCUGCAGCCCAAACCCCUGUGUGUUCUGGUACUUACAGAAAUCUGGAGAAGCUCCUAAACUCCUGAUUCGUUAUGUUAACACCCGUCAGUCAGGAACUCCAUCUAGAUUCAGUGGCAGUGGAUCUGGGACUGAUUUCACUCUGAGCAUCAGUGGAGUCCAGACUGAAGAUGCUGGACAUUAUUACUGUCAGAGUUAUCACAGUGUUAAUGUGUUCACACAGUGA